GACAUCAAAGUAAAGGAGCAGUCUUUGGAAAAUCUAAUCAACAGUUACCGAGGAGACACUUUGUGUUGGCUUAGCCAGGGUUGGAGCCGACGACCAGAAAAUUGCAGCAGGCACUUUAAGGCAAAUGUGCACUGUGGACUUGGGAGAACCAUUGCAUUCCUUGAUCAUCACAGGAGGCAGCAUACAUCCAAUGGAGAUGGAGAUGCUAAGUCUGUUUUCCAUACCAGAAAAUAGCUCAGAAUCUCAAAGCAUCAAUGGACUUUGAACAUAGAUAUUUACCAUUGUCUGAUGUAAAUUUCAGCCAUAUAUGGAUUGAUAUGGUUUGGAUGUAUCCCCACCCAAGUCUCAUCUUGAAUUUUAAUCCUCAUAAUUCCCAGGUGUUGUGGUAGGUAAUUGAAUCAUGGGGGCAGUUUCCCUCAUGCUAUUCUCAUGAUAGUGAGCUUUCAUGAGAUCUGAUGGUUUUAUAAGUGCCUGGCAUUUCCCCUACUGGCUCUCAUUCUCACUCUUGCCGCCCUGUGAAGAGGUGCCUUCCACCGUGAUUGUUAAGUUUCCUGAGGCCUUCCCAGCCAUGUGGAACUGUGAGUCGAAAAUUAAACCUCUUUUAUAAUU
rnacentral:lncRNA from 10 species